rnacentral:rRNA from 1 species
AUGCAGUCGAGCGGAACGAGUAUCUGAACCUUCGGGAACGAUAACGGCGUCGAGKWGGGAMGSGUGAGUAAUGCCUAGGAAAUUGCCCUGAUGUGGGGGAUAACCAUUGGAAACGAUGGCUAAUACCGCAUGAUGCCUACGGGCCAAAGAGGGGGACCUUCGGGCCUCUCGCGUSAGGWUAUGCCURGGUKGGAUUAGCUWGUUGGYGAGGUAAGGGCUCACCAAGGCGACGAUCCCUAGCUGGYCUGAGAGGAUGAUCAGCCACACUGGAACUGAGACASGGYCCAGACUCMUACGGGAGGCAGCRGURGGGAAUAUUGCACAAUGGGCGCACGCUA